AACGAACGCUGGCGGCAUGCCUAACACAUGCAAGUCGAACGAGACCUUCGGGUCUAGUGGCGCACGGGUGCGUAACGCGUGGGAACCUGCCCUUAGGUUCGGAAUAACUCCCCGAAAGGGGUGCUAAUACCGGAUAAUGUCUUCGGACCAAAGAUUUAUCGCCUUUGGAUGGGCCCGCGUUGGAUUAGCUAGUUGGUAGGGUAAAAGCCUACCAAGGCGACGAUCCAUAGCUGGUCUGAGAGGAUGAUCAGCCACACUGGGACUGAGACACGGCCCAGGCUCCUACGGGAGGCAGCAGUGGGGAAUAUUGGACAAUGGGCGAAAGCCUGAUCCAGCAAUGCCGCGUGAGUGAUGAAGGCCUUAGGGUUGUAAAGCUCUUUUACCCGGGAUGAUAAUGACGGUACCGGGAGAAUAAGCUCCGGCUAACUCCGUG
rnacentral:rRNA from 1 species